UAAUAAAAAUAAUUGAAAAUUUUUAUUUAAAAUAAUAAAUAUUGCAAAUUAAAAUUUUAUUCAUAUCAAUGAACCUAAACCAAAUUCAUACUUCUAAGAGGUGGUGAAUGGCACUGCUUGAGGUGCACAGCACUAAGCAAUGGGAAGCCUUUGCCAUCUAAGUAUGGUCGUGUCGUUGGGAGCAUAACUCCACCAAACGGGCCUUCUAAUCCAACAGGAGCUCAGCAUCAUCGGACAAAAAAAUGGCACUGUAGAUCCAAAGGUUAAUCAAGAGAAGUUAGUGGUAAAAGGAAGUUCUGAUGUACAGAAUCCUGCAUAACCGAUGGAUCUUUUCAAACAAAAGCUCAUGUUGAGACAGCAGGCGCUUCAUUUUCUCAGACGGCAAUUGCUAGAAUAGAUGGUGGUCGGAGUGGGUGGGGGAAGUAGAGGCAGCAGCAAUGCUAGUGCCGGCCGAGGCACCCGUCUCCAGAAGUUCAGCAGAGGAAGGGGAACGAUAGCAAAUCUCGACGUUAGAAGUGGCGGCGCAGCGGUUGUCUUCAAGGACUGCGCUGGUUCCUGUGAUGGAUACAGCUCUCCUUGUUUAAGAUUUAAAAAAGGAAGAAAAUUUGUUAGAGAGUAGAAUUUUGAAUUCGGGAAGUAAAUGAAAGGAUCUGGGUCCAUAAAACAACAAAUGUAUUAGGUUAAUAAGGGCAUGAGACGUGAUUUUAAAACUAUUCUCUCACAUCUCUCUU
rnacentral:lncRNA from 1 species